AGUGAACGCUGGCGGUAGGCCUAACACAUGCAAGUCGAACGGCAGCACAGUAAGAGCUUGCUCUUACGGGUGGCGAGUGGCGGACGGGUGAGGAAUACAUCGGAAUCUACUUUUUCGUGGGGGGUAACGUAGGGAAACUUACGCUAAUACCGCAUACGACCUACGGGUGAAAGCAGGGGAUCUUCGGACCUUGCGCGAUUGAAUGAGCCGAUGUCGGAUUAGCUAGUUGGCGGGGUAAAGGCCCACCAAGGCGACGAUCCGUAGCUGGUCUGAGAGGAUGAUCAGCCACACUGGAACUGAGACACGGUCCAGACUCCUACGGGAGGCAGCAGUGGGGAAUAUUGGACAAUGGGCGCAAGCCUGAUCCAGCCAUACCGCGUGGGUGAAGAAGGCCUUCGGGUUGUAAAGCCCUUUUGUUGGGAAAGAAAAGCAGCAGGCUAAUACCCCGCUGUUCUGACGGUACCCAAAGAAUAAGCACCGGCUAACUUCGUG
rnacentral:rRNA from 1 species